rnacentral:rRNA from 1 species
GGUGAGUAACACGUGGGUAACCUACCCAGGGCUGGGGGAUAACACAGGGAAACUUGUGCUAAUACCGCAUAAUACAGUUAGAGGGCAUCCUCUGAUUGUCAAAGGAGUAAUCCGGCUUUAGAUGGACCCGCGUCCGAUUAGCUAGUUGGUGUGGUAAUGGCUCACCAAGGCGACGAUCGGUAGCCGAACUGAGAGGUUGAUCGGCCACAUUGGGACUGAGACACGGCCCAGACUCC